rnacentral:rRNA from 1 species
AAUCAACGCUGGCGGCGUGCCUAACACAUGCAAGUCGAACGCGAGAGUCCCGCAAGGGACAAUUGAGUGGCAAACGGGUGAGUAACACGUGGGUGACCUGCCUUCGAGUGGGGGAUAACGUCCCGAAAGGGACGCUAAUACCGCAUGACAUCCUGCCUUUGGACAGGCGGAGAUCAAAGCCGGGGAUCGCAAGACCUGGCGCUUGAAGAGGGGGCCCGCGUCUGAUUAGCUAGNGGUGAGGUAACGGCUCACCAAGGCGACGAUCAGUAUCCGGCCUGAGAGGGCGGACGGACACACUGGGACUGAGACACGGCCCAGACUCCUACGGGAGGCAGCAGUAAGGAAUAUUGCGCAAUGGGCGAAAAGCCUGACGCAGCGACGCCGCGUGGGGGAUGAAGGUCUUCGGAUUGUAAA